UGGGGAAUAUUGGACAAUGGGCGAAAGCCUGAUCCAGCCAUGCCGCGUGUGUGAAGAAGUUCUUCGGAUUGUAAAGCACUUUAAGUUGGGAGGAAGGGCAGUAAGCGAAUACCUUGCUGUUUUGACGUUACCGACAGAAUAAGCACCGGCUAACUCUGUGCCAGCAGCCGCGGUAAUACAGAUGGUGCAAGCGUUAAUCGGAAUUACUGGGCGUAAAGCGCGCGUAGGUGGUUCGUUAAGUUGGAUGUGAAAGCCCCGGGCUCAACCUGGGAACUGCAUCCAAAACUGGCGAGCUAGAGUAGGGCAGAGGGUGGUGGAAUUUCCUGUGUAGCGGUGAAAUUCGUAGAUAUAGGUAUGAACACCAGUGGCGAAGGCGACCACCUGGGCUCAUACUGACACUGAGGUGCGAAAGCGUGGGGAGCAAACAGG
rnacentral:rRNA from 1 species